GUUCAGGCCAGUCCACGCUGGGUCACCCAUGUGGCCUGCUGCUUAGCAAUUCCUAAUCACCAUCUUCCCUUCUCAGCCUCUUUUUUUGUGCUAAGAGGUGGCAAAGCCUAUGGGGUAUUCACCUACCUGCUGCAUGAAGGCAACAUGGAGGGACUGUGGUGGAUUAUCUGCAAAGAUGGCCAAAAUUCUCUCAUCCCUACAGGUAUAUACAAGAAAGCCUGAAUUUUGUAAAUGUUCUGCUUAGAAUGAGGAAGAAAGAUGAAGAAUGAGGAGGAUGAAGGGAAGAAUGAGAGAGAGGUAAAGCCAACGAGCAGAGCAGACCUACAUUUGCAGCAUCUCCAAGUUUCUGCAACAGCUUUAUGUUGUUGUUAUGUUUUGUUUUAAUAAAAGUAAAUACCAUUUUUUUCUUUACUGUUAUAUUCUUUUCAUAAGAGCUCAGCUAAAGACAGAUAAUGCUGGAGUCAGCCUUUUCUAAGAAUUAGUCUCUUCAAACUGGCCAUAGAGAUUUGGUAGAAGUCAUGGGUUUUAAU
rnacentral:lncRNA from 1 species